AUUGAACGCUGGCGGCAGGCCUAACACAUGCAAGUCGAACGAGUGGCGGACGGGUGAGUAAUGUCUGGGAAACUGCCCGAUGGAGGGGGAUAACUACUGGAAACGGUAGCUAAUACCGCAUACCAUCGGAUGUGCCCAGAUUGGAUUAGCUAGUAGGUGGGGUAACGGCUCACCUAGGCGACGAUCCCUAGCUGGUCUGUGAGGAUGACCAGCCACCCGGGAACUGAGACACGGCCCCGACGCCUACGGGAGGCAGCAGGGGGGAAUAUUGCACAAUGGGCGAAAGCUCGAGGCAGCCAUGCCGCGUGUAUGAAGAAGGCCUUCGGGUUGGAAAGUACUUUCAGCGAGGAGGCGUUACUCGCAGAAGAAGCACCGGCUAACUCCGUGCCAGCAGCCGCGGUAAUAC
rnacentral:rRNA from 1 species